rnacentral:rRNA from 1 species
UACGUAGGGACCGAGCGUUGUCCGGAAUCAUUGGGCGUAAAGAGCGUGUAGGCGGCCAGGUAGGUCUGCUGUUAAAACUCGAGGCUCAACCUCGAGACGUCGGCGGAAACCAUCUGGCUAGAGUCCGGAAGAGGAGAGUGGAAUUCCUGGUGUAGCGGUGAAAUGCGUAGAUAUCUGGAGGAACACCGGUGGCGAAGGCGGCAUCCUGGACCAACACUGACGCUGAGUGAGCGAAAGCCAGGGGAGCAAACGGG